GUCGGAGAAGCUAUGUUGAACUCCAGGUCCCAUCAACCUGGCCAGCAGUCCAGGAUGAUGGGAACCAAAGUCCACAACAUCUGGUAACCCUGGAGCCCUGUUUGCAAUGAUGACAACAUGCCCUGUUCCAGGAAGACCACGUUGCCAUUUUCAGCUUUGCUAUGCAAUCUCCUACACCGGGAAGAGCUUUGUGUUGCCACCUCCAGGGUGCAGAGCUUAAUCAGCUCAGGAUUUAUUGAAGCGGAGAGGAAAUUCGCUACAACCUGAAACCUGCAUAGCACCCAAAAUAGCUCAUCUGAAUGCUUGCUAUCUUCUCCCAGACUCAAUCUUCCAUUCCAGAUGCAGACAUGGAUUGCUUGAACAUCAGCCUUUCUCACCUCAACCUGCCCCCCUGGCUUUGAGUUUGAGUUUUCAGCAUGCAACAUAUGUGCUCUACCAGAGUUACAGAUUCUUCCCCACUAUCCUUCCAGAAAUGGAAAUCUCUAUAGUCCUCAUUAA